rnacentral:rRNA from 1 species
ACUCCUACGGGAGGCAGCAGCAGGGAAUAUUGCACAAUGGACGGAAGUCUGAUGCAGCGACGCCGCGUGGACGAAGAAGGCCUUCGGGUUGUAAAGUCCUUUUCAGGGGGAAGAGAGAGGACGGUACCCUUGGAAUAAGCGUCGGCUAACUACGUGCCAGCAGCCGCGGUAAGACGUAGGACGCGAGCGUUAUCCGGAUUUACUGGGCGUAAAGCGUCUGUAGGCGGGACAGUGAGUUGGGCGUGAAAGCUUCGGGCUUAACCCGGAGAGGACGUACAAGACUGCUGAACUAGAGGCCACCAGAGGGGCGUGGAAUUUCCGGUGUAGCGGUAAAAUGCGCAGAUAUCGGAAGGAACACCAGUGGCGAAGGCGGCGCCCUGGGGUGGGCCUGACGCUAAGAGACGAAAGCUAGGGGAGCGAACAGGAUUAGAUACCCUGGUAGUC